rfam:Schistosoma mansoni, Puerto Rico, WGS project CABG01000000 data, contig: 0010
GCACUAAUGAGUAGUCCCACAAUAGGACGAAACGGCUGUCCAGUGC